UACGAAGGGGGGCUAGCGUUGCUCGGAAUUACUGGGCGUAAAGGGCGCGUAGGCGGUUCUAUAAGUCAGGCGUGAAAUUCCUGGGCUUAACCUGGGGGCUGCGCUUGAGACUGUGGGACUUGAGGUCAGAAGAGGGUCGUGGAAUUCCCAGUGUAGAGGUGAAAUUCGUAGAUAUUGGGAAGAACACCGGUGGCGAAGGCGGCGACCUGGUCUGAUACUGACGCUGAGGCGCGACAGCGUGGGGAGCGAACAGG
rnacentral:rRNA from 1 species